GGGACAAGCCCUGGAAACGGGGUCUAAUACCGGAURAUACUUCUGCUCUCAUGGGCGGGGGUUGAAAGCUCCGGCGGUGAAGGAUGAGCCCGCGGCCUAUCAGCUUGUUGGUGAGGUAMCGGCUCACCAAGGCRACRACGGGUAGCCGGCCUGAGAGGGCRACCGGCCACACUGGGACUGAGACACGGCCCARACUCCUACGGGAGGCAGCAGUGGGGAAUAUUGCACAAUGGGCRAAAGCCUGAUGCAGKCUGACGCCGCGUGAGGGAUGACGGCCUUCGGGUUGUAAACCUCUUUCAGCAGGGAAGAAGCGAAAGUGACGGUACCUGCAGAAGAAGCGCCGGCUAACUACGUGCCAGCAGCCGCGGUAAUACGUAGGGCGCAAGCGUKGUCCGGAAUUAUUGGGCGUAAAGAGCUCGUASGCGGUCUGUCACGUCGGAUGUGAAAGCCCGGGGCUUAACCCCGGGUCUGCAUUCGAUACGGGCAGACUAGAGUGUGGUAGGGGAGAUCGGAAUCCCUGGUGUAGCGGUGAAAUGCGCAAAUAUCAGGAGGAACACCGGUGGCGAAGGCGGAUCUCUGGGCCAUACUGACCCUGAGGA
rnacentral:rRNA from 1 species